AACGAACGCUGGCGGCAUGCCUAACACAUGCAAGUCGAACGAGACCUUCGGGUCUAGUGGCGCACGGGUGCGUAACGCGUGGGAACUUGCCCUUAGGUUCGGAAUACCUCCCCGUAAGGGGUGCUAAUACCGGUUAAUGUCUUCGGACCAAAGAUGUAUCGCCUUUGGAUGGGCCUGCGUUGGAUUGGCUGGUUGGUAGGGUACAAGCCUACCAUGGCGACGUUCCAUAGCUGGUCUGAGAGGAUGAUCAGCCACGCUGGGACUGAGACACGGCCCAGACUCCUACGGGAGGCAGCAGUAGGGAAUAUUAGACAAGGGACGAAAGCCUGAUCCAGCAGUGCCGCGUGAGUGAUGAAGGCCUUAGGGUUGUAAAGCUCUUUUACCCGGGAUGAUAAUGACAGUACCGGGAGAAUAAGCUCCGGCUAACUCCGUG
rnacentral:rRNA from 1 species